UCUCUCUCCUCCUCAUCUCUUCGUCC
rnacentral:piRNA from 1 species